rnacentral:rRNA from 1 species
AUGUUGUGCCUGUUUUUUUUUGCGAUACUGAGUGAGGAACAUGUGCAGGUGUGGGACUUGAUAAAGCUUGGAGAUUAUGUUAGUGCAAGGGACGAUGUCGAUACCUCUAGGAUAGGGAUUGCUGGAAUGCAUGCAUGCUUUGCUGCUUUGGUGGAUACACGGUACAAUGUUGUUCUUCCAAUAAUUGGUGUUCAGGGAUAUCAAUGGGCAGUAGAUAAUGACAUGUGGCAAGCUAGAGUUGAUAGCAUUAAGCAUUUAUUUGAAGAAGCAAGAAUUGAUUCAGGGAAGAGUGAAAUAGAUGCAGAGGUUGUGAAAAAGGUGCUGACGACCCUCAUUGCCCAGUCCUUGGUCUACAAGAACCUGCCUCCAAAGCUGCUGAGGCUUAUGCAGAAGCUGGUUCUGCGGAUAAGUUCAAGGUUGCAAUAG